CAGGUCAAGUAGUGUUUGUUUGUUACUUUUUCCACCAGUAGGACAAUUACUAGCUGGCCGCCGUCUUGGACGACUAAAAUGGCACACAUUAGGUUUUGGGCGUUGGCCUUCAUUGCCUUGAGCAUUUCUGCCACAAGUAUGUCUGCCACCUUUACGGUCACCCUGAACUCGAGAGCAUCAACGAGGCCAGGUACAAGGCGUUCUGCUCUCGGUCCCCACCCCCUGCUCAGCUCCCACCAUGCGCCGAUAGCUUGGAGCAGCACGUCAAACGGGCCAACUACCAGGCUGGUGUGUGGAAACGGGCACUGGUCGCAUCCCCAGACCUACCCAGCAUCAGUGAUCAUGGAUGGAGGGUAGACGACUCUAAUGUCAUGAUCAUGUGGGGUCUUCUUCCUCCUGCACCACCAGAGCUGAUGGCGAUCAUCCGGUGUGCCUGCGCCACUGGAUGUUCAACGCGCCGGUGCUCAUGCCUACAGUCCUCCAUUUCUUGCACCGAUGCAUGCCAAUGCAGUCCCUGCGCGAAUCCGCACAAUGCUGUGUCCGAAGUGCUUGCAGCACCUACACUUCAUGGAGACAAUGAAGACAGUGCUGAUGAUGAAGAUGGUCAAACUGAUGAUGUUGACAACCCCUCCCACGAGAUCGCGGAAUAACUGCUGAACAUCAGCUUUCCAUGGAUUUCUGGUCACGUGUUUACACCGGGGAAGUGAGCUGCGUUCAACCAAGUGUAGCUGGCAGUCCCCAACAGAACAUUCCAGGUCAACCACUUCCAUCGUGCUUUUCGACAGCGCGCCUCAGUAUGUUCGCUGUGCACUUGUACCUGGUCAUGUUCCAUGCUAUUUCUACUGUUUGCCUGUACAGGUUAUGCCAGCAUACUUACUAGUCCUACCGAUACUGUCACUGCAAGUAACUAGGUUAUAAGUCACCCGUGCACGACAACCUAGUAUAGCAGUCACUGACUCCUCUCUCCACAGUGAAUGGCUACACUGCAUUGCCUAGACGCAUCCCAAAGCCUCUCAUUGUGUAUUAAUAUUAUUUCUAAUGCUCGGGUUUUCUCUUGUGACCCGCGACGCCAGGCAUGAAGUCAUGCUCCUUGCUAUAUACAUGUACAUGUAUCUCGCGGCCGUAACUUGUUAACAGAGUGUUACUGACAAUCAGUGCCAACUGCUGCAAUUGCAGCUCAAAUGCAAACACUGUAUGUGUACGUGUUGCUGCGCAUUGGUCUCUGUCUUGAGAAUUCUUAUCAUUUUGGUGUAUUUUUAAUAACAGGCGUGGGCCAUCCCGUGAUUUCUUAGGUGCCGGUUUUAAACAUUUGCUGUGUGCUUUUUAUAAUCACCAAAUGUCCCAUGACUGAGGACACCUAUGAUAUCAAGAACAGUGUACUAAGACACUUGCUUAUCUGAGGUAGACAGGCUUGAUUGUGUUAUAACGAGAUGAUUGUUUGAUGGCAGUAAGGCGGUUUCCAACUGUACUUCGUGA